ensembl:lncRNA
UACUAUAUUCUGGCAUACCACCAUGACGUGCGGUUUCUUCUUUCAGGAAUACCCUAGUAGACAAAAUCUUUUCUUCAGCCUUCAAACCUCAGGCAUUAUGUCACCCCUGUUCUUGACCCCCACCCCCAUCCCCAUGAUUCUAUUCACAGAUGCCACCCUCCAUGCUCCUUUUAUACCUUGUAAGAACCUCCUUUGUGAAAUUUCUAUGUUGUGUUAGCAAUAACUUCUUACAGGUCACAGCUUUGCCCUCAUUGAACGUUAGCUCUGCAAUAGCUGGACAUGUAGUGUGUCUCUUCAUCUCUGUACAGACACUGGAACAACGCAGGUGCCCAAUGCAUGUUCAAGUUCUUCUACAGUGAGAUCUUAUUAAGCAUGUGUCUCAGGGCUUUAUGAGGAAGCUUGGUUCCUGGGCAGAGGACUUGUGAAGGACCCAGGUCCAGAGCCCAGCUGCUCUCAGUUGCAGGGAUAGUAGGGCCAGAGCCUCAUAGGUUUCCCAGGUGCUCCACCUCAUUCCCUUCCAGGGACACCAGGCAAGAGGACAGUGGAGCUCCAGGCGAGGGCAGGGCCUGCCAUUGUCUCCCUCAGCCAGUCCCCCAAGGGAUAUAGUUCCUUUCUGCAGGGUCCUUCAGCAUGUGCACUCUUGCUUCUCCCACAGCCCACCCCCAACACAACCUGUUCUUCUUCUUCUUUUUCAUUUUUGUCUUUUUAUGGCAGCACCUGCGGCACAUGGAGGUUCCCAUGUCGAAUCGGAGCUACACCUGCCUGCCUACUCCACAGCCACAGCAGCACAGGAUCUGAACCACGUCUGUAAGCUACAUCACAGCUCAUGGCAACGCUGGAUCCUUAAUCCACUGAGUGAGGCCAGGGAUGGAACCCACAUCCUCACAGAUACCAGUCAGGUUUGUUACCGCUGAGCCACAAUGGGAACUUCCACAACCACUUCUGUUCCUCAGGUGUGUCUCAGGAUUUCUCACCUCUGCAGCCUUGCUCCCACCCUUUGGCCUGCACUUCCUGGCUCUUGGCUCUACUUCUGAAUUCACGUCCAGUCAUUCUUUGGGACUUUAGCUUAUAUGCCAUUUUGUUCACAAAGUUUUCUUUCUCCUCCAAAUUGGAAUUGGUCACUCUCCUUGAGAGCUUCUUUGUCCUACUUGGUGGCCUUCAUUGUAUCUGCUUGUUACUAUCUACACAUUUCCUACCAGCUAUUGAGACGAACUCAUAGAGUUUUCACCCCUCAGGGGUAGGACAGGAUUUUACAUAAAACAGGUGCUCAAUCGAUUCACAUCUCAGCUCAGAUAUUUGUUCUGCCAGGGGCUCCUCCUUAGUCUGGGUUACAAAUCCCUUGCAGGUUCACCUUUAAUGCCAUGGGUGGCUCAUUGGUCUGUUAGUUCUGGGAUGGCAGAGGUUGUACUUCUCUUGUCCACAGUGGUGUUCCCAGUACAGUACUUAGUAUGGAUUUUAUUUAUUGAGCAAAUGAGUAAAGAAAUUAGUAAAUAUGGGUUCUUGAAUAAGGAGAAUGCCAGGAGAAGGAAUUGUCCUGGAGCUUGAGCAAUGGCAGCCUUUGAAUAUAUUUAAGUGGCCCUCUGCCUUUAUUUCACUCUCCUGAGGUGUUUUGCAAAAUGUAGAUACAACCUUCAAAGCAAAGAACUGCCCAAUAGCAGGCCAGAGAUGUCAAGGAGUCCUGGGUGACUGAGGCAGGACACCAGAUAUGGGGUGGGGGUGGGGGAUGGUGGAGAUGGAGCCACGCUGAGAGGCACACCAUCCCCAGCUCACCGUCCUUCAUUGACUGGUAAAGGGUACCUCACCCCCCGCCCAUACUCCAGGCAGUCCACUCCACAACCUCUUACAGUUUAGGCAAAGGUGAUGGGCUGUGGUGGGCCGAGGAAGGUUCUGACACUGCAGUCCUGGAAUAGAUUCCCUGUCCUUAGGGCCCAUCCUACUCUUCAUAGACCAAACCAAGGUGCCCCUGGGCCAAAGAGCUUCGAGAAGAGUCCAUAGUUUAUCUGGGCUGGGAGGUGGGCAGGCUUGAUCCUUCUUCAGUUGCAAAGAAAGUCAUUUUUUUUUCCCCAAUUUUAAAGGUUAUUUAAAUUGUGUAGUCAGCCUACCUUGUUCCCCCUUCUUCAAAGGGUAAGUUUCCUUUUCCUAGCUUAGCAGUAAGCCUCCAAACUUCACACACACAAUUUUCACCCCAAAUGGGAAAAAAUAGGUCAUAUUCAGGACUGAAAAUGAAAAUUUAUCACAAAACCUUUCCAAGAGCUCUAUUAUUAAAGUUACUAUCAUACAGUUGGAUAUUAUAGAGGCAAAAAAAAUGAAGGUAGAGACUGUGAACACUGCUGCUCUCUUCUCCUCCCAUGCGCCUAAAUGAAUGUUUUCAGCCUGCCCCAUCCAUCUUCAUUAACAUUGUGAGCAAUUUGUAUCGGCCUGCACUGCGGCAUCUUUACAUUGUGCAAAUGUAUGUGAUGUUCUGGAAAUGGGCAAUUUAAUAUGAAAAGCACACCAUGUCUCAGACUUUUUUUUUUUUUUAUUUUCUAAACAGUAAUUUCUGCUAGGAAUUAUUCCCUGAUUUGUGCAUAAUUUCAUGCAGAUGGUUAUUUAAAUAUAAAUAGAGAAAUGUGUCUUUUAAUACGGUGCCUGCCUCUACUUGGGUUGGCAUGCCCAUAUUUAAAAACAGUGCCAUAAAUAAAAGAUAAAAACCUCCCUAAGCCACAUACUAGUCAGAAGUUAAUUGUGCCUGCUCGUUAAUUGUCAUUUGAGUGCCCUCCAAUUAACUUUCUUAAUAUUUUCCAGUUUCUUUAAAAAGAAACUUAAAUGAGUCUUUUUGUGAAAUGUGUUUACAAUGUAAUGAAAAACCUCUUUGUUUACCUAAUUAAGACUACAUUCUCCCCAUAGUAAAAACAGAACUCCUUCUUUGGUGACCAAUCCACUUUCCUCUUCUGCAAAGGCCAACUUUUGUCACCAAACUAACAUGGGAAUAGUUGGGAGAGGAAGGCGUGUAUACACGGAUGCAGGCCUGAUCUAAGCUUUUUAUAAUUCAGGUAUAUCUUUUGCAAAAAAUGCCACACACAGUUGUUUGUCUUCACAAGCUUUGUAGUAAUUAAAACAGAGGAGCAAAUGUAUACUGCAAUUAACCUUCUUUAUUUGAACAAGAUCUAAUUUAGUGGCAGUAGAUUUAGAGGUAAAGGUUCUGUGAAUGCCCGUCCAGAACAUUGCUUAAAUAAAUAUCUGCAACACUCAUUAACCCAAAAGGAUGACCUUGAAAAAUGGUGAUGAGAAUGUUGAAAAUGGAAAAAGAAAACGCACCACUUGUCUCCAAAGCUCUGCCUUCUACUUUGUCAUGCUAUUCUAGUGGGAGGGUUAUGAAGAAUUUUCCAGACCAGAUUUGCUUUUGUGAGUGUGAGUGGGAACCUUACUUAGAGCAAAGUGUGCUGUGCUGUGUGUGUGUGUGUGUGUGUGUGUGUGUGUGUGUGUGUGUGUAGAUUAACUGGACCGCCUGAUGACAAUUCUUGUGUCUUGUGGACUUUCAGUUCUGCAUCUUCCAGAUCUUUUCUCCCUUUCCAUUUCCCAACUUCCUAAUGGCUAUAGGGCAUCUCCACUUGGGGAUCCAAUUAAAAGUAAGUAUGUUAAUACUUCAAAAUUAUAUGUGUAUGGCUGAGUCACUUUGCUGUACAGCAGAAAUUGGCACAAUAUUGUAAAUCAACUCUACUUUCUUUAAUAAAAAACAGAAAGAAUUGAACAUUAACUUCCUGUUCUUGUCUCCCUUCCCAGUUUCCUUAAUAUUGGCUUCAAUGUCUUUCGUUUCCUCUAUUGUUCCUCUCAACUGUCAGCUGUUCAAUUCUAUAGGCACUUCCUUUCACAACUUGACAUUCCAGUGGUUCCUAUGCUUACCAGCAGGAGCAGACAUCCUCUUCAUACUUAUCUUUCUGCCUGUUUUGUCCCUUCUCAAAGAAUCCUGAAGUAUCUUAUUGCCUCUGAAUACUGUUCCGAGCCCUGGUUUGGGACUUGAGAGAACUGGGAGUUCUUGUUCCUGUCUCUGACAGUGUAAGUCAUUUCCCUGUCUGGGCUCAGUUAGAUUUAGUGAACUAUUAAACUCCUAACCCAGGGAGUUCCCUGGUGGCCAAGCAGUUAAGGAUCAAGCAUUGCCACUGCUGUGGGGUGGGUUUGAUCCCUGGCCCAGGAACUUCCGCAUGCCACACACACAGCCAAAAACUAAAAAUAAAAAAUAAAACUCCUAACCCAGAGUUUAGGGUCUUAUGAUAAUUUUUGUCUCUUGCUGGUCCUGUUGACUCUAUAUCUUCCUCUCCUUCCUUGGGCAGAUGCUUCUUCCCACUGGGACAACAUUGUAAGCCUUGAUGUAACCUGAUAUUUUCAAUUCUACUGAAUGCAUAGAAGGCUGGUGUAGUGCUGUUAAGAGAAAGUUGAGUCAGAUUACCUGGUUUUGAAUCCAGCUGCACCUCUUACCAGCUGCAUAACCUUAAGCAUGUUACUUGACCUCACUAUAUCUCAGUUUCUUCAUCUAUGCAAAAGUAAUAGCAUUUCAUAGGGUUACAAGGACUAGAUGAGGUGGUCAGAACAGUGCCUAGCCUUUGGUUAAGGCUCAGCAAAUACUAGCUAUUAAAAUGAAAAAUAACCUCUUGUUUUCAGAUUCUAGAUCAGCCAGUAAACAUACUACAACACGUCGGACACAAAUGGCUUGUGAUAUUAUCCUUUUUUUUUAAACACCUGUCUUAGAGCUAUGCCUAAUGGGGAAUUAUGCUUUUAUCAAAUCUUAAAAUAAAAUUUGUACAUGCUUAUCUUUAUCAUAACAAUUUCUACUUGGAAGAGUGGAAAGUGUCCUCUUAAUAGCUGUGAACAAAUACGGUGUUUAAAAAAAGCCAGUUGAUUUAGUCAUGUAGAGUAAAUGAUUUAGAAAAAUAAAAAAAUAAUUUAUCUUAAGUCUUCAAAAGCAGUUUAGAAUAUCCUAUUUAUACAUAUAUUAAAAUGAACAAAUAUUUUUUAAAUGG